CACGUAGUUAGCCGGGGCUUCUUGUCCAGGUACUGUCAUUUUCUUCCCUGCUGACAGGGCUUUACGCACCGGAGUGCUUCUUCACCCACGCGGCAUUGCUGCAUCAGGGUUCCCCCAUUGUGCAAUAUUCCCCACCUGCUGCCUCCCGCCAGGAGUCUGGGCCGUGUCUCAGUCCCAAUGUGGCCGUCCACUCUCUCAAGCCGGCUACUGAUCGUUGUCUUGGUAGGCCGUUACCCUGCCAACUAACUAAUCAGACGCGGGCCCAUCCUGUACCACCGUGGUUUUCCCUGCUGUGCCAUGCGGCACAGCAGGCUUAUGCGGUAUUAGCAGCCAUUUCUGGCUGUUGUCCCCCGGUACAGGGCAGGUUGCCCACGCGUUACUCACCCGUCCGCCACUAGGUUUAUAUAUCUUCCCUCCGGAGAGUUCUGUCAUAUAAACCCCGUUCGACUUGCAUGUGUUAGGCAUGCCGCCAGCGUUCAUCCUGAGCCAGGAUA
rnacentral:rRNA from 1 species